rnacentral:rRNA from 1 species
GACAGAGGGUGCAAACGUUGCUCGGAAUUACUGGGCGUAAAGCGCGUGUAGGCGGACGUGUAAGUCAGGUGUGAAAUCCCCGGGCUCAACCCGGGAACUGCACUUGAAACUGCGCGUCUUGAGUACUGGAGAGGGUAGUGGAAUUCCUGGUGUAGAGGUGAAAUUCGUAGAUAUUCGGAAGAACACCAGUGGCGAAGGCGGCUCACUGGCCCGGUACUGACGCUGAAAUACGAAAGCGUGGGGAGCAAACAGG